UCAGGCCUAACACAUGCAAGUCGAGCGAGGUAGCAAUACCUAGCGGCGGACGGGUGAGUAACGCGUGGGAACGUGCCCCUUGGUACGGAAUAGCCCCGGGAAACUGGGAGUAAUACCGUAUGAGCUCUACGGAGGAAAGAUUUAUCGCCAAGGGAUCGGCCCGCGUUGGAUUAGGUAGUUGGUGGGGUAAUGGCCUACCAAGCCGACGAUCCAUAGCUGGUUUGAGAGGAUGAUCAGCCACACUGGGACUGAGACACGGCCCAGACUCCUACGGGAGGCAGCAGUGGGGAAUCUUAAAAGAUGGGCGCAAGCCUGAUCUAGCCAUGCCGCGUGUUUAUGGAGGCCUUAGGGUUGUAAAGCUCUUUCAG
rnacentral:rRNA from 1 species